CGUUGGCCCAUUAAAAAGCCUUGCGUCGUUCUCGCUUGCUCGCGGCCAUGGCGAAUCCCCGCGGGGCGCCGCCGCUCCUCCUCCACCCCCGCCACCGGCGUCUCCUGCGCUCGCCGAUCUCGCGCUGCGCCUCGCUGCUCUUCGCCUUCGCCGUGCUCCUCCUCCUUUCCGCCCUGCGCCAGCUCGCGCGGGUCGACUUCCCCCGUCCGGACGCACCCCGCCAGGGGUCAAGUGAGCACCUGUGGGCGUCUAACGGCUACGGUUAUAAUGCUUGUGUUACACCAACCUCUAGAUAUAAGGUUCCAGGCGAGUCAGAUCGCUAUAUGACUGUCAGAAGUAAUGGAGGACUCAACCAAAUGCGCACUGGAAUCUGUGAUAUGGUUGCAGUUGCUCGUUUGGUUAAUGCAACACUUGUUAUCCCUCAGUUAGACAAGCGAUCCUUCUGGCAAGACACCAGUACAUUUAAAGACAUCUUUGAUCAGCCUCAUUUUAUUAAAGCUCUGGAAGGAGAUGUACACAUUGUGGGUGACUUGCCUGAAAGCUUGCAAUCUGCUCCAAGAGCCCGGAAACACUUCACCUCAUGGUCUGGUGCGAGUUAUUAUGAGGAAGUGAAAGAGCUCUGGAAGAAUCAGAAGGUAGUUCACAUCCCAAAAUCCGACUCACGACUUGCUAACAACGGUCUUCCAAUUGAUAUCCAGAGAUUGAGAUGCCGCUGUCUUUACCAAGCACUCCGUUUUUCAGAUCCAAUCGAGGACCUAGGAAAGAAGCUGGUGGAUCUUCUAAGGUAUCGUGGAAAAUUCAUCGCUCUUCAUCUACGAUAUGAAAAGGAUAUGCUAGCAUUUACGGGAUGCACUUAUGGUCUAAGUGAUUUGGAAGCAAAUGAGUUGACAAUUAUGAGAGAGAGAACAAGCCACUGGAAAUUGAAGGACAUAAACUCAACUGAACAGAGAUCUGAAGGCAACUGUCCACUGACUCCAAAUGAGGUGGGCAUUUUUCUUCGCGCUAUGGGCUAUCCUGAAUCCACAUGGAUCUAUCUUGCAGCAGGUGAAAUUUAUGGUGGUGAUAAGUAUAUAUCAAAAUUGAGGUCAUACUUCCCAAAUUUAGUUAGCAAGGAGAUGCUAGCAACAAAAGAAGAGCUUGAGAAAUUCAAUAAUCACGCUUCUCAAGUUGCAGCCCUUGAUUACAUAAUUUCAGUUGAAAGUGAUGUGUUUGUUCCAUCACACUCUGGCAAUAUGGCGAAAGCUGUAGAAGGCCACCGUCGAUUUUUGGGGCAUCGCAAGACUAUCACUCCUGAUAGGUACAUAUGUGCACAUGUGGAUGAAGACAUGAAGUUAUAGAUCUUUUGGUUGUAUUGUAUCCUUUUACUUUGCAUUCUUUUCUUGAUAUUCGGGUGUUAUCAAUCUUCACCACGUAUCAAGUGCUUGCUUAGUUCCUUUUUCAACAUUACUCUAUUUAAUCUGCAGGAGAGGAUUGGUGGAACUCUUUGAUUUACUGGAAAAAGGGGACCUCAUGGAAGGUCCACAGCUGUCCUCUCUUGUUACUGACUUGCAUAAAUACAGACAAGGGGCUCCUAGGAAAAGAUAUGGCUCCUUGCCAGGAAGCAAGGGCAGAGCACGGCUUAGGACUGAGGAAUCUUUUUAUGAAAACCCACUUCCUGAGUGCAUUUGUCUGACUGGGAAGCACUGAUGUGUUGCCGAUGUAUAGCUUUGUAUAGUGACACCCCUCACUCGCAUUGGAAGUGCACUAGUGCUUCUCACUGGGCAUUGGAGCUUUACUGACGCUUUGAGACUAGAAGGGUACUCUAUGACGCAAUUCACUAAAGGAUGCCUACCUUCCAGUGAGCGACAUCCAAUGACCUUGUUGGCCUAGAUAGACUGGCCCCUGCAACCAAGCAACUCUUCAUGAGUGGGUUCGUUGCCACUGUUGAGAAAUUUGAAGAGCAGGUUGUAGCCAUGAAAGUUUCGAACAACAUACGUGAUAUAUGCAUUUGCAAGGAUCUGUAGCCCUCAGGCAAUAUCUGAAUUUUUUUUGUUCUUACAAGCAUUUAGCCAGAGCAAGCUUAACAUACUGUUGAACUGCUUCAGCUUUCUAAUUUUAAGCGACCAUCAAAGCUGAUGUUCACUUA